rnacentral:rRNA from 1 species
GACGAACGCUGGCGGCGUGCUUAACACAUGCAAGUCGAGCGGAAAGGCCACUUCGGUGGUACUCGAGCGGCGAACGGGUGAGUAACACGUGAGUAAUCUGCCCCUCACUUUGGGAUAGCCACCGGAAACGGUGAUUAAUACCGGAUAUGACCAUAUGUCGCAUGGCGUGUGGUGGAAAGUUUUUCGGUGAGGGAUGUGCUCGCGGCCUAUCAGCUUGAUGGUGAGGUAAUGGCUCACCAUGGCUUCGACGGGUAGCCGGCCUGAGAGGGUGACCGGUCACACUGGGACUGAGACACGGCCCAGACUCCUACGGGAGGCAGCAGUGGGGAAUAUUGGACAAUGGGCGGAAGCCUGAUCCGGCAACGCCGCGUGAGGGAUGACGGCCUUCGGGUUGUAAACCUCUUUCAGUACCGACGAAGCGCAAGUGACGGUAGGUACAGAAGAAGCACCGGCCAACUACGUG